rnacentral:rRNA from 1 species
GCCAUGGGCAGGUUGAAGGUUGGGUAACACUAACUGGAGGACCGAACCGACUAAUGUUGAAAAAUUAGCGGAUGACCUGUGGCUGGGGGUGAAAGGCCAAUCAAACCGGGAGAUAGCUGGUUCUCCCCGAAAGCUAUUUAGGUAGCGCCUCGUGAAUUCAUCUCCGGGGGUAGAGCACUGUUUCGGCUAGGGGGCCAUCCCGGCUUACCAACCCGAUGCAAACUGCGAAUACCGGAGAAUGUUAUCACGGGAGACACACGGCGGGUGCUAACGUCCGUCGUGAAGAGGGAAACAACCCAGACCGCCAGCUAAGGUCCCAAAGUCAUGGUUAAGUGGGAAACGAUGUGGGAAGGCCCAGACAGCCAGGAUGUUGGCUUAGAAGCAGCCAUCAUUUAAAGAAAGCGUAAUAGCUCACUGGUCGAGUCGGCCUGCGCGGAAGAUGUAACGGGGCUAAACCAUGCACCGAAGCUGCGGCAGCGACGCUGAUGCGUUGUUGGGUAGGGGAGCGUUCUGUAAGCCUGUGAAGGUGGCCUGUGAGGGUUGCUGGAGGUAUCAGAAGUGCGAAUGCUGACAUAAGUAACGAUAAAGCGGGUGAAAAGCCCGCUCGCCGGAAGACCAAGGGUUCCUGUCCAACGUUAAUCGGGGCAGGGUGAGUCGACCCCUAAGGCGAGGCCGAAAGGCGUAGUCGAUGGGAAACGGGUUAAUAUUCCCGUACUUGGUGUUACUGCGAAGGGGGGACGGAGAAGGCUAUGUUGGCCGGGCGACGGUU